rnacentral:rRNA from 1 species
GACGAACGCUGGCGGCGUGCUUAACACAUGCAAGUCGAACGGGAUCCACUGGGCUUUUGUUUGGUGGUGAGAGUGGCGAACGGGUGAGUAAUGCGUGACUAACCUGCCGUAUGGUUGGGGAUAGCUCCUGGAAACGGGUGGUAAUACCCAAUGCUCCAGCUGGAUGCAUGUCUGGUUGGGAAAGCUUUUGUGCCAUAUGAUGGGGUCGCGUCCUAUCAGCUUGUUGGUGGGGUGAUGGCCUACCAAGGCGUCGACGGGUAGCCGGCCUAAGAGGGCGACCGGCCACAUUGGGACUGAGAUACGGCCCAGACUCCUACGGGAGGCAGCAGUGGGGAAUAUUGCACAAUGGGCGCAAGCCUGAUGCAGCGACGCCGCGUGCGGGAUGGAGGCCUUCGGGUUGUAAACCGCUUUUAUAGGGGGGCAAGCUAUGCCUGUGUGGUGUGGUGAGUGGACUUUAUGAAUAAGCACCGGCUAAUAC